rnacentral:tRNA from 1 species
AAGAAAGUGACAGAGUGGUUAUGUGAUUGACUUGAAAUCAAAAUAUGGGGGUUCAAUUCCCUCCUCUCUUG